UGGGGAAUAUUGCACAAUGGGCGAAAGCCUGAUGCAGCAACGCCGCGUGAGUGAUGAAGGCCUUCGGAUUGUAAAGCUCUGUCUUUUGGGACGAUAAUGACGGUACCAAAGGAGGAAGCCACGGCUAACUACGUGCCAGCAGCCGCGGUAAUACGUAGGUGGCGAGCGUUGUCCGGAUUUACUGGGCGAUAAAGGGUGCGUAGGCGGAUGUUUAAGUGAGAUGUGAAAUACCCGGGCUUAACUUGGGUGCUGCAUUUCAAACUGGAUAUCUAGAGUGCAGGAGAGGAGAAUGGAAUUCCUAGUGUAGCGGUGAAAUGCGUAGAGAUUAGGAAGAACACCAGUGGCGAAGGCGAUUCUCUGGACUGUAACUGACGCUGAGGCACGAAAGCGUGGGUAGCAAACAGGAUUAGAUACCCUGGUAGUCCACGCCGUAAACGAUGAGUACUAGGUGUAGGAGGUAUCGACCCCUUCUG
rnacentral:rRNA from 1 species